GUAAAAACUGCCCCCUGUGUUGCUACCAGAUUCUCCUCAGAUUCAACCUGCUCACAGACGCAUACCCUCUUCUUUCUCUGUCCUACAAAUAUCUGCUGACACUCUCAGUGACACAGGUAGCCUGUGAAAGAUCAUUUUCAACUUUGAAAUUCAUCAAGAGCAGGCUGAGGAGCAGCUUAUCUGCUGGUAAAUUGGAGGCCUUCAUGCUGAUGUCCACAGAAAAGGACAUCCUCAUGGGAUUGGACACAGACAGUGUCAUAGACAGAGUGGCCGAAAAAAGUGAACUGCUUCGGAAGCUCCUACUCUACUAAAGAAGCCUCUGUCUCAGGUUGUGGCGACGACUUGCUUUCACAAAGGUUCCAUUUCAGGAUUGUGAGAUUGGAUUGUGAGGAUUGUUUUUGGAGAUCGACAGACGUUUGGUUUCUGGGGCUUCACAUGUACAUAGUUCUUACUGGAUUGACGGGGUUUGUGAGCGUUGGUUCCGGUGAAGUCAGCUAUUCACCAAGUUUCAUGAGUGUUUGAUGGACUGUAGUCGGUGUAGACAGACAAGGCUAUGCACCAAGAGCUGAUUGGACUGAAGAGAGCAGAUAAGGCCAGUUCAUCGGCAGCUGCCAGGGGCUCUCUUCUCUCAACGUCCAGGUUUUCUGCCAGCUAUCAUGACAAAUUUAUAGAUUCAUUUUAAAUAAACAAUUGAGUGUGAAGUCA